CGCGUGAGUGAAGAAGGAUUUCGGUUCGUAAAACUCUGUUGUAAGGGAAGAACAAGUACAGUAGUAACUGGCUGUACCUUGACGGUACCUUAUUAGAAAGCCACGGCUAACUACGUGCCAGCAGCCGCGGUAAUACGUAGGUGGCAAGCGUUGUCCGGAAUUAUUGGGCGUAAAGCGCGCGCAGGUGGUUUCUUAAGUCUGAUGUGAAAGCCCACGGCUCAACCGUGGAGGGUCAUUGGAAACUGGGAGACUUGAGUGCAGAAGAGGAUAGUGGAAUUCCAAGUGUAGCGGUGAAAUGCGUAGAGAUUUGGAGGAACACCAGUGGCGAAGGCGACUGUCUGGUCUGUAACUGACACUGAGGCGCGAAAGCGUGGGGAGCAAACAGGAUUAGAUAC
rnacentral:rRNA from 1 species